AAAAAAAAAAAAAGCAAUGGAAUCUUGAAAUUCACAGGCAAAUGGAUGGAACUAGAAGAAACCAUUCUGAGUGAGAGCCCUCAUCCAGUGGCUGAUGGAAGCAGAGACAGACAUCCACAGAUAUCACUCAGCUGAAAUCUGGUACUUUGUUGAAGAGAGGGAGAAAUGAAGAUUGAAGGGGAAAAAUAGACAUACUUCAGGCUUCAUGAAUGGGGUGACCUACGUGGAACUGCAAGCACAAAUUAUUUCACUAGACAUUUUGCUGUAAUGUUUCAGUGCUAACCAAAGUCAUCCUUCUGUGGUCAGUUAGCAAUUCUACUGCUGACUUUCAGGCUCAGAAUGCAGAGCCUUCAUGCAGCAGCUGAUGGAAGUAGAAGCAGAUACCAACAGUUAAACACAGAAAUGAACUGGAAUCUUGUUGCAGAGAAGGAGGAGUGAUGAGAAAAGUGGACAAGACCAGGCUGGUGAAACCCACAGAAAGAGCUGACCUGAACAACAGGGACCUCUUGGCCUCCAGACAGAUAGCUGGAAAACCAGUAUGGAACUUAUCCAGACCCCAUGAAUAUGGGUGUCAUGGAGGAGACUUUGGAAAUCUGUGGGGCCUCUUGUAGUAGAUCAGUACUUAUCCCUAGCAUAGAAAUGAACUUUGGUAGCCAUUUCACAUAGAGGGAUACUCCCUCAGCCUAGAACCACAGGGAUGGCCUAGGCCCUAUCCCAAAGGAUAUUACAGACUCUGAAGACCCCCUUGGCAGUCCUCACUCUCCCUGGGGUGCAGAAAUGGUAUGGAAUAGGUAGGGUGCCAGUGGGAGACAGGGGAGGAGAGAAGGGAAAGGGAACUGGGUUUGACAUGUAAAACAAUCUUUUUCUAAUUUAAAUAAAUAAUGGAGGAAAAUAUUAAAUGAUGAUUUUGAGGAACAAAGUGAUUAAGAGCUCAUGAUCACACAGGAUAAUAGAGUCUUAAAACCAUGAAGCCUAAUUGUUGCAUAACUACCCUGUCUUUCUUUUGGUUUGUGAAACUAAGGCUCAUUUAAAGGAAUGAAUACCACAUUAUUCAAUAACUACUAGCUUAUGUUUUUGACUGGAAAGAUAGUCACACUGCUUUUUUUUAAAAAAAAAAUCAUUUAUCAACACAAAUUACUUGAUUUACCUAAAAAUAUGCGGCCUGAUAUAGAAGUAGUGACUGUUCUCACAUAUUUUAUUUAUCUGGAUGUAUUUGCAAGUGUUACAACCUUCAUUGACUAGUGAUUACCAUGUAGGACAACACAGAUUCUUUACAGUUGUGAACAGUAGCAAUGACACAUGUCUAAUUCAAAGUGUGUCAUUGGAGAAAAUCCAGGGCAAGGGUUAGUUGGAUGUUACAAUUGCAGAUGUAAAACCUAGUGAGUAACAACCUUUGCUUUAAUGAAAUUCACAAGUUAUAAAAUACAGUAUUCA
rnacentral:lncRNA from 1 species